ACUAUAGAUGGUCUAUCAGCCCAAGACAUUGGCAAUGAUAAGGAAGAAGGGUCAGUACUGGUUAGUGUACCAGUCAAUGCUACCCAGAGGGUGAGGAGUGUCACAGCUGUGCAACAUACUAACAGCACCGAGCCUGAUAAGAAAAGUACUGAAAAGUACAAGAGGUUGGAGGCGGUCUAUUUAGGAUCUCGUUUUGUGACGUCACCUCACGGAAUAAGAGUAGUGAACGAGUCAGUGUCGUAUCUAUCAAGAGACAAAUCAAAAUGGAUACCAGUUUAUGUUGAUGUGGCUUCUUCCCAUAUUAGGAUAUUGGAUACUAAAAAUGAGAUAGUAUUAAAAGAACACCGGAUUAGGUUCCUGUCAUUCCUUGGAAUAGCUCACGAUGACCAGUA